UAGCGGCGGACGGGUGAGUAACACGUGAGUAACCUACCUUUGACAUGGGGAUAGCCUCGGGAAACUGGGAUUAAUACCCAAUAACAUUAUUGAUACGCAUGUAUUAAUAAUCAAAACUCCCGGUGGUCAAAGAUGGACUCGCGCCUGAUUAGCUAGUUGGUGGGGUAAAGGCCUACCAAGGCGACGAUCAGUAGCCGGCCUGAGAGGGUGAACGGCCACAUUGGAACUGAGACACGGUCCAA
rnacentral:rRNA from 1 species